rnacentral:rRNA from 1 species
GGGAACACCGGCGGCCCGAGUGGUGAUCGUGAUUAUGGGUCUAAAGGGUCCGUAGCCGGUUUGGUCAGUCCUCCGGGAAAUCUGAUAGCUCAACUAUUAGGCUUUCGGGGGAUACUGCCAGACUUGGAACCGGGAGAGGUAAGAGGUACUACAGGGGUAGGAGUGAAAUCUUGUAAUCCCUGUGGGACCACCUGUGGCGAAGGCGUCUUACCAGAACGGGUUCGACGGUGAGGGACGAAAGCUGGGGGCACGAACCGGAUUAGAUACCCGGGUAGUCCCAGCCGUAAACGAUGCUCGCUAGGUGUCAGGCAUGGCGCGACCGUGUCUGGUGCCGCAGGGAAGCCGUGAAGCGAGCCACCUGGGAAGUACGGCCGCAAGGCUGAAACUUAAAGGAAUUGGCGGGGGAGCACAACAACGGGUGGAAGCCUGCGGUUUAAUUGGACUCAACGCCGGACAACUCACCGGGGGCGACAGCAAUAUGUAGGCCAAGCUGAAGACUUUGCCUGAAUCGCUGAGGGGAGGUGCAUGG